CGUAGUUUCGCAGCUUGACAGCCAUCUUAGAGGUUCCAGAAUAACAGCGAUUUCGACUGAAAAACAGCACUGAAGAAGCGUAUGUCAACCACCACGACUACCAUUCGCUUAAUGUACAAAUGAUACUACUCUUAAAAUUUUAAACGUAAAUGCCAAAUUUCCGGGAGCACGGCACGAUUCAUAUAUUUGGAGUUCCUCUGCGGUGCGAAGGGUUAUACAACGGAGUUUUGAAAUUGGAAACCAUAACAUGUUUUUGAUUGGUGAUUCCGGGUACCUUUUGGAGCCUUGGCUGAUGACUCCUCUAACAAACCAACCGGAAGGUAGUCCGAGAUUCUUGUAUAAUGAGGCAUCGUGCAAAGCUCGUAACCCAGUUGAGAGACUUUUUGGCGUUCUUAAGGCAACGUGGCGGUGCUUGUCUCAACAAAGGACACUCUUGUAUGAUCCAGGAUUUACUGGACAGGUAGUGCUCAGUUUUACAUAAUAUAAUAAGCGUGCUCAGUUUUACAUAAUAUUCGUUUAAGAGAAGGAAUAUACCAGACCGAAAAUGAAUUCACAGAGCCCAGAACAAACAACAUUUUUGUAAACCAAGAUGGAUGGUGCAUCAGCAAAGCGCAUCCAAGACCGACUGAUUGCUAAUUUUUUUACUUAUAUACUAUUUUCACUUAUAAUCAUUCCGCACACAUAUCUAUGUGAACACUCGGGUAUAAAAAGUUAAAACAUUUUCAUAUUUAUUGUUAAAACCUUUUACUGAACAAAAUUACAUGCAGAUUCAAUAACAACAAUUCAGUCUUUAACUUCAGUUUACAUACAGUUUUAGGUUACAGGUACAUAAUUAUAUUUAUGUAUAUAGGUAUGCAUAAGCGUAUGCACACAUGCUGUACAAGUUCAAAGGUCAGUCUAUUUGUA